GACGAACGCUGGCGGCGUGCCUAAUACAUGCAAGUAGAACGCUGAAGGAGGAGCUUGCUUCUCUGGAUGAGUUGCGAACGGGUGAGUAACGCGUAGGUAACCUGCCUGGUAGCGGGGGAUAACUAUUGGAAACGAUAGCUAAUACCGCAUAAGAGUAGAUGUUGCAUGACAUUUGCUUAAAAGGUGCAAUUGCAUCACUACCAGAUGGACCUGCGUUGUAUUAGCUAGUUGGUGGGGUAACGGCUCACCAAGGCGACGAUACAUAGCCGACCUGAGAGGGUGAUCGGCCAAACUGGGACUGAGACACGGCCCAGACUCCUACGGGAGGCAGCAGUAGGGAAUCUUCGGCAAUGGACGGAAGUCUGAACGAGCAACGCCGCGUGAGUGAAGAAGGUUUUCGGAUCGUAAAGCUCUGUUGUAAGAGAAGAACGAGUGUGAGAGUGGAAAGUUCACACUGUGACGGUAUCUUACCAGAAAGGGACGGCUAACUACGUG
rnacentral:rRNA from 1 species